rnacentral:rRNA from 1 species
GACGAACCGUGCGAACGUUGUUCGGAAUCACUGGGCGUAAAGGGCGCGUAGGCGGCGUUUUUAAGUCGGGGGUGAAAGCCUGUGGCUCAACCACAGAAUGGCCUCGAUACUGGGACGCUUGAGUAUGGUAGAGGUUGGUGGAACUGCGAGUGUAGAGGUGAAAUUCGUAGAUAUUCGCAAGAACACCGGUGGCGAAGGCGGCCAACUGGACCAUUACUGACGCUGAGGCGCGAAAGCGUGGGGAGCAAACAGG